GUCAGCCACUCGCCGCAUGUCCCCAUCCGUCCCGACUGCCUCCGUCUCACUGCCACUUUCCUUCUGCCUGACCCUUUCUCCGGGAUUGUCUUCUUUCUCGGCAGUGGCUGUGGGCAGGGCUCAGGUGCAGCAGGAGCCGUCGGCAGAGGCCACCGAGGGCACUGGCAUUAACAUCACCUGCUCACACCCCAAAAUAAAGAACAACGAGUACAUCUACUGGUACCAGCAGCUCCCGGGACGAGGUCCAACGUUCAUCACGAGCGCUUUCAAAGGGUCGAAAGAGGUGCGGGACCCGCCAGGGACCCUCAUGGUGUCCGAAGACCGCCGCUCCAGCGUCCUGCAUCUCGCCCGGCCCCGCUGGCGGGACGCGGCGGUGUAUUACUGCGCCGUGGGAGACCCGGCGGCACAGGUCACGCACAAAAGGAUGCUGUGCUCCAGUUCCCACCAGAAACGACUGUCCAGGCAGGACACGGUGCAACACUGCACUGCAAUUUCUCCACCAGCGACCCUUAUGCCUGCAUUUUCUGGUACCAGCAGUGCCUGACCCAGUCCCCUGAGAUGCUGCUUGUGGACAGAUCCAGAUCUCAUGUGGAUUCAGGGAGGUUCUGCUGUGUGCUGUGUGCUGAGAGCUCCCAGGUGCUUCUCUAAGUGCAGGAUGCCGAGCUCCAGGACAGUGCUGUGUCUGUGCUCUGAGCCCAUGCCAAUGUAUGCACUACUGUGAAGCAUUGCACAGGAAGACUUGUGGUCUGCUUUGGGGAGGUCACCCCAUUUCUGGGAACUAGUUUGUCCCUCUGCAUGUAGUGCUUUUUGCAUGCCAGGUCUGACUGGUGGAACAAAGAGCUGGCCCUGGAGAGCAGGUGUGACUACUGCUGGCAAAUCAGCCAUGGUGGCUGCAGAGAAGCAUUAGGUGGUGUUUCCUCCCUGAGGGAGGAAAUGUGCUGGUGUUUGCUCCUAGUGCAGGGCACUGCUCCUUGUCCCCAGCAUGGGGGAGACAGCUGGGGAGCCACCUUCACUUUCAAGCUCUGCCCACUGGGCCAGGUGUCUUCUCCAGGUGCUGGACACAGGGAAAUCCAACCCCUUUAAGUGGAGCUCGAUAGACCCCUUUCCCAAUGAAGGACCGAGAAAUCACGACUCUGCAUUCAAAAAAGGGGAGUGAAUUCCCACAUGCGCAGGUCCCUUGUUUUCUCACAGCUGGGCAUGGUGAUCGGGUUCGUAUAAUUUUGACAGUAUGGUUGAUGUUAGAGGGGACCCUUAGAGGGGGGAGCAACCACCAGAGUCUGAGGGGUCCUUUAUUGAAGCAAGCUUUCCUGUGAACGUGAACAAAGACCCCAUCUGGGAA